rnacentral:rRNA from 1 species
CCUACGGGAGGCAGCCGUGAGGAAUAUUGGUCAAUGGCCGGAAGGCUGAACCAGCCAAGCCGCGUGAAGGACGAAGGUGCCAAGCAUUGUAAACUUCUUUUGUCAAGGGACAAAAUCAGGCUCGAGAGCCUGACCGAGGGUACUUGAAGAAAAAGCAUCGGCUAACUCCGUGCCAGCAGCCGCGGUUAUACAGCGGAUGCGAUCGUUAUCCGGAUAUAUUGGGUUUACAGGGUGCGUAGGAGGGCUGUUAAGUCAGCGUUAAAAGCCCGGGGCUCAACCCCUGCGAGCCGUUGAAACUGGCUGUCGUGAGAUGUCGAGAGGUAUGCGGAAUGCGCAGUGUAGCGGUGAAAGGCUUAGAUAUUGCGCAGAACUCCGAUUGCGAAGGCAGCAUACCGGCGGCGAUCUGACGCCGAGGCACGAAAGCGUGGGUAUCGAACAGGAUUAGAUACCCCGGUAGUC